CCUUUAUCAUUAAUUAUGUUUACCUUCUGCUCUGUGUUUAUGUUCUGUAAAGCUGCUUUGAGACAAUGUCUAUUGUAAAAAGCGCUAUACAAAUAAACUUGAAUUGAAUUGAAUUUCUGCUACUUUUGUAGAAAGAGCCUGAAGAAGCCACAAUUAGAUCUUAAGUCAAAAAUGCAUGUUCCUGAAAAUGUUUUUGUGUGUCUAGCUUUACUGUAGUAACUAGGAAGGGAAAAGUUACAGGCAGAGUUGAAGGUUCUGCAUGUGUCUUUCUUUACAUUGAGACCUUAAUUUUCUAUGGGUCCAUAGAGAAUACAUCAAACAUGCUAAGCUAAAGUGAAACAUCUGUACAGCUGUGUGACUGCAAGGACGAUUCUGAUGGAGAAAUGAUUUCCUGUAUCAUUAUUAGAGUCCGUGCUGGAAAAGACUUAGUCAUUGAAAUUUCUGUGUGGGCUCACUCGCUCAGUCAGUCUCUCACUCGCUCACUCGAUCAGUCAGUCAGUCUCUCACUCGCUCAGCCAGUCGCUCAGUCAGACAGACGCUCAGUCUCUCACUUAGACGGUCAGUUCGGCCAGUCACUCAGUAAAGCUAGUCAGUCUGUCCAGUCAGUCUCACACACUUUAAAAAUAUUUUUAAGGGUGAAAUCCUAAGUAAUAUUAGCAUGGACAUACAGGUUAAAUCAUACAGGUUAAAUCAUACCGUUAGACUUUCUGUAGCAAUGCCAACAUCUUUGAAUGUCAGUGUGGACUGCAUACGGUUGGUCCAAGCUUCAACACAAACAAAUAAUUCACAUCUGAUAAAUCAGCAAAAUUCUGUACACAUAUUGUAAAAAUUCUAUAAUUGUAAAAGAGUUUUUUGUAAAAAAAAAAAAUUGUAUAUUGUAAAAAUGUGUACCUUGUUUUGCCAUGAAAACCUCACGCUUUUUUUUUGUGUUUCUUAUUUGGCAUCUUUGGUGUCUAACCUCCUAUGUCCAAAUUUUGUCAAUUUCAUAUUUUUUCACAUAUCGAUGCUAUUGGCCAGUCUGUUAUUUUUGCAAGUUAUUAAUCAAUCUAAAGUCUCGAAAAUAGCUUGAGCGCAAUUCUCUUAACCCCAUUGGACACUUCAACUGUCUGAGAAAUCUCGUGACUCCACCUCUUCUUCACUCCGCGGGAAAGUUUCGCGCCAUAUUUCUCCUCAGAAUCAACACGUCUUCUAAACUAAUAACUUAUAAGUGAAAGUUAAUAUAAAGUGUUAGCUAGCCCUCACUGUUGACAGUUUAUAAAAGAUGUAACUCAUCCAUGCACGUUUGGUUUGUGUGUGUAUUUUGAAGUUUGCCAUAGUGGAAGCGAAGAGGACCUGAAUGCAGAGAAUUUGUGUUCAAACGCUGAGGAAGAUGCACCUCCAAGGAAAAGACAGAGCUGAAAACAUUAUACAUGUUCAUUGACGUUUUAAAAUGUGUCUAAUAUAAUAUUUGAAUUAAAUUGAAUGUUUUGGAUACCACUAGACUGUAAAAAAUGCUGGACUUAACACGGACUUAACGUGUGAGAGCAUGCACGUCAACGUAAAAAUCAGAUGACACCUGUGCGAGAAGCCGCCAUCUUUGCGUGUUCAGAUGAAAGCGAGUGAAAUUCUGUCUGAAACUCAAUUAAAGUGAGGUUACCUCAUGGCUAUGUGAUAGCCGUGCUCCGACUCACGACAGAUCCCAGAUCAGUGAGCAGGAGAGCACGCGUGGCGACUUCAUCAGAGCUUGGAAGGAAUAAGCUGAUGGCAGCAAGCAGUGUUCCCUUGUGUGGCAGUUUGGUGUAUGGACUUCCGGGGGAGGAGAGACCAGCAGUAAGAGUUCUGACAGCAUUUGUUUUUGCAGACAAACUGUAACUUAUUAUUAUUUAUUAUUUUAUUAAACUGUGUAUAGUUAAUAAACUUUUAUUAUUAUUAUUGCUGUGACCUGACUUCUUCAUUGGAUUGUGUUCUUUAACUUGUAAACUGUUCCAUUAAAUGUUUUCAUAUUUCACAUUUAAUUGGAAGUAAAUUUUUCUGACUGAAGUCAGUAAUGCAUUUACUGUGAUAUUUAAUACAUUUUCAUAGAAUGCGAGCGUUUUACGUGCUGUUAUGACGGAAUCAGCUCCGUAUAUUAGACAUAUCAUGUAUUAGAUUUAAGUGUUGCUAUUCUUGCCUAGACAUCCUUUCCAAAAAUAAGAAAAUGUGUAUUAUUACAACGAAGGAUGACAUUUUUAGAUCACCUAAAUUGCUUCCACAUACUUCCGUGUUUCCCGUGAGCGGGGAUGGAUUACCGAAGUAAGUAUUGCUGUAGAUUUAUUAUUUUAAUCACUUAAAUUUCUGACCCAUUUUGGGUUAAAAUCACAACCCAGCAGUGUCGUCAUUUUUAACUAAUAGUUGGGUUAAAAUCACAACCCAGCAUGCUGGGUUAAACAUGAUAACCCAACUAGCUCGGUUAAAAUAACCCAGCGUUGGGUUCAUCCCUUUUUGUCCCAGCGCUGGUUGCCAAAAUAACCCAAAUUGAGUUGUUUUCAAUCCAGCAGUUUUUAGAGUAUUAAAUUAUUGUUUUUAUUAUUUUACUGACUUCAAGUCAGCCUACUUAUAGACAAUGCCUCUCUUGGCACUGUGCAUGUAAAACAUGUAACAAGUGAAAAUAGGUUAGAUACAUUUGAGUAGGCCUGUUUUGUUAAAAAUCUAUAGCUGUAAUGCUUCUGUGCAGAAAGAAACCCGUGAGCGACGAAGGAAAGUUGCGAGCAGAUUAGACUAAUUUCCUAAAUCAGUUUAUCGUGUUUUGUAUUACAUCACUUAUCGCUCUUAAACCUUUUAAAAUACAUUUUAGGAAGAUGUAUGUAACUAUAGUCAUUAGCUCUGGUUAACUAUCUUGUCAAAAGGCUCAACGUGACCGCAGACUUUAUUGAAACUGCUGGCAGCAGCGACGUCUGUGUCCGUACCAUUCUUAUCAAUGACAGCAUAAUCUCGUAUCUCCCUGCUCCCAAGUCAUAAAACUUGUAUCUCCGAUAAAACGUGACUUUGGGAAAAUGUUGUUAAUGUUGGUACACAACAGUAUAUGAUAGCAAUAUAAGUAUGGGCGAAAAGCCCCCCAUGGAUUGUCCCCCCAAAAAAUUUGUGUUAAAAAUAUCGCACUAUUGUGAAAAAUAUAUGUACGUAUACCUAAAUAAUUGUGUAAGUAGAAAAAAAAAAUGCAAAACAUGCAUUUAGAAACAGUUGAGUUCG